UACGUAGGGUGCAAGCGUUAAUCGGAAUUACUGGGCGUAAAGCGUGCGCAGGCGGUUUUGUAAGUCUGACGUGAAAUCCCCGGGCUCAACCUGGGAAUUGCGUUGGAGACUGCAAGGCUGGAGUCUGGCAGAGGGGGGGUAGAAUUCCACGUGUAGCAGUGAAAUGCGUAGAGAUGUGGAGGAACACCGAUGGCGAAGGCAGCCCCCUGGGUCAAGACUGACGCUCAUGCACGAAAGCGUGGGGAGCAAACGAGG
rnacentral:rRNA from 1 species